UGCCUAAUUCCGGUGCACAGCUCUGAACUCC
rnacentral:piRNA from 1 species